rnacentral:rRNA from 1 species
UUGCGGUUAAAAAGCUCGUAGUUGGAUCUCGGCGGGCAGGGGGUGGUUCGCUCUUCAGCGCUACUGCCCCGCUUUGCCCGUGUGAUUGGCGGAGGUUUCGGGGUGCUCUUCGUUGAGUGACUCGGAGCGCCGUCAGGUUUACUUUGAAAAAAUUAGAGUGCUCAAAGCAGGCUUUUCACGCUUGAAUAUUCGUGCAUGGAAUAAUGGAAUAGGAACUCGUUUCUAUUUUGUUGGUCUUCGGAAAUCGAGUUAAUGAUUAACAGGGACAAUUGGGGGCAUUAGUAUUCAGACGACAGAGGUGAAAUUCUUGGACCGUCUGAAGACUGACUACUGCGAAAGCAUUUGCCAAGAGUGUUUUCAUUAAUCAAGAACGAAAGUUAGAGGUUCGAAGGCGAUCAGAUACCGCCCUAGUUCUAACCAUAAACGAUGCCAGCUAGCGAUCUGCCGAGUUUUUUUUGUAGGCUCCGCAGGAAGCUUUCGGGAAACCAAAGCUUUUGGGUUCCGGGGGAAGUAUGGUUGUAAAGCUGAAACUUAAAGGAAUUGACGGAAGGGCACCACCANGAGUGGAGCCUGCGGCUUAAUUUGACUC